rnacentral:lncRNA from 1 species
CCGGCGUCCCCGGGGGACCCCCGCGCCCCACGGAGCUGCCCCCGGGGAAGCGGCGGCUGCACCUGGCGGAGCCGACAGCAGGGAACAAAAACUUGGGGGUUUAUUUCUUUUUUUUUUUUUUCCCCCUCGUUUAGGUUCCGUAUCGGAGCAGGCUGGAAGGCUGCCGUAUACUCAGGCGUGUAAGAAGAUUAUGUCAGCAGCGGGCAGAGGACUACUGGAAGGAAAGUCCAGGAGGGAUUUGUCCAAGUGGAUUGCAAGUCAUUACAAUCGUUUGCAUGAGAGAAGCCUGUUCAUCUGGGUAAGCAUUUUUUCUUUGCCUCAGACCUUGCUGACCAAUAUGCUAGAGCGGCUAAUGCA